CUACGUGCCAGCAGCCGCGGUAAUACGGAGGGUGCGAGCGUUAAUCGGAAUAACUGGGCGUAAAGGGCACGCAGGCGGUUAUUUAAGUGAGGUGUGAAAGCCCCGGGCUUAACCUGGGAAUUGCAUUUCAGACUGGGUAACUAGAGUACUUUAGGGAGGGGUAGAAUUCCACGUGUAGCGGUGAAAUGCGUAGAGAUGUGGAGGAAUACCGAAGGCGAAGGCAGCCCCUUGGGAAUGUACUGACGCUCAUGUGCGAAAGCGUGGGGAGCAAACAGGAUUAGAUACCCUGGUAGUCCACGCUGUAAACGCUGUCGAUUUGGGGAUUGGGCUUUAAGCUUGGUGCCCGUAGCUAACGUGAUAAAUCGACCGCCUGGGGAGUACGGCCGCAAGGUUAAAACUCAAAUGAAUUGACGGGGGCCCGCACAAGCGGUGGAGCAUGUGGUUUAAUUCGAUGCAACGCGAAGAACCUUACCUGG
rnacentral:rRNA from 1 species